AUCCAUAUGACGAGUCCCAAAUAGGACGAAAUGCGCGUUCUCCUGGAU
rnacentral:hammerhead_ribozyme from 1 species